ACACGACUGGACGUGUAUAAAUAGGCGUUAGGUCCAGUGCGGGUGAUGGUAUUGAGUAUUUUGGAAUCGGUGCC
rnacentral:ribozyme from 2 species